GAGUUUGAUCUUGGCUCAGAACGAACGCUGGCGGCAGGCCUAAACAUGCAAGUCGAGCGCCCAGCAAUGGGAGCGGCGGACGGGUGAGUAACACGUGGGAAUGUACCUUUCGGUACGGAACAACUCAGGGAAACUUGAGCUAAUGCCGUAUGCGCCCUUACGGGGAAAGAUUUAUCGCCGAAAGAUCAGCCCGCGUUGGAUUAGCUUGUUGGUGAGGUAAUGGCUCACCAAGGCGACGAUCCAUAGCUGGUUUGAGAGAACGACCAGCCACACUGGGACUGAGACACGGCCCAGACUCCUACGGGAGGCAGCAGUUGGGAAUCUUGGACAAUGGGGGAAACCCUGAUCCAGCCAUGCCGCGUGAGUGAUGAAGGCCUUC
rnacentral:rRNA from 1 species